rnacentral:rRNA from 1 species
CACAUAAAGUGACAGCUAGCUGAAUCUUUGGUGUGUCACCAGAGAUAACGUAAAGGAAAAUAAUGAUAUUACUUUACUAUUAGUGUCGUCCAAAUACUCGUGCCAGAAGACUCGGUAAGGCGAGAGACGCAAACGUUAUUCGUCUUGAUCAGGCGUAAAGGGUGUGUAGGCUGCUUUAAGUAGUUAAACUAAGUUUACCUUUAUAAAUUAAAACAAACUUGUUUAAGUUAAAACUUUUUAUUCGUAAAGAAUUAAAUUUAAUUUAAACAAAGUGUCUUAAAUUAAGACUUUUAUUCGUCUCCCCUCCCCUACUCCACAAGCCGCAAAGCGGUGCGUGGGAGGGGAAAGGGAACAGUCGUAUUUUAUUUAAACACAAUUUUUUUUUAUACUAUUGGUUUAAUUCAAUUAAAGCUAGAAUCUAAAAGAGGUUAAAACAAUACUUAAGGUAGGAGUACUAACCGUAAAUAUUAAGUAGAGUGUUAAUGGCGUAGGCAUUUAUCCAAUACAGAUUGACGCUGAGAAACGAAAGUGAGGGCAGAAAAAAGGAUUAGAGACCCUUGUAUUCCUCACUGUCAACGAUGAAUGGUGGUUACUAGUUAGAAAUCAACUAGAGGCGAUGUUAACACGUAAACCAUUCCGCCUUGUGAGUACAACUGCAAAGUUGAAAACAAAAAAAUUAGUCGGUUUCGGAGCAAACGAAGUGAAGCAUGUUAUUAC